rnacentral:misc_RNA from 1 species
UGUCACAUGAGUGGAGGGCUACACA